AGAGUUUGAUCAUGGCUCAGAUUGAACGCUGGCGGCAGGCCUAACACAUGCAAGUCGAACGGUAACAGGAAGCAGCUUGCUGCUUCGCUGACGAGUGGCGGACGGGUGAGUAAUGUCUGGGAAACUGCCUGAUGGAGGGGGAUAACUACUGGAAACGGUAGCUAAUACCGCAUAACGUCGCAAGACCAAAGAGGGGGACCUUCGGGCCUCUUGCCAUCGGAUGUGCCCAGAUGGGAUUAGCUAGUAGGUGGGGUAACGGCUCACCUAGGCGACGAUCCCUAGCUGGUCUGAGAGGAUGACCAGCCACACUGGAACUGAGACACGGUCCAGACUCCUACGGGAGGCAGCAGUGGGGAAUAUUGCACAAUGGGCGCAAGCCUGAUGCAGCCAUGCCGCGUGUAUGAAGAAGGCCUUCGUCGUUGUAAAGUACUUUCAGCGGGGAGGAA
rnacentral:rRNA from 1 species